GUGUCAGCCGCCGCGGUAAUACGGAGGGGGCUAGCGUUGUUCGGAAUUACUGGGCGUAAAGCGCGCGUAGGCGGAUUGGAAAGUUGGGGGUGAAAUCCCGGGGCUCAACCCCGGAACUGCCUCCAAAACUAUCAGUCUUGAGUUCGAGAGAGGUGAGUGGAAUUGCGAGUGUAGAGGUGAAAUUCGUAGAUAUUCGCAGGAACACCAGUGGCGAAGGCGGCUCACUGGCUCGAUACUGACGCUGAGGUGCGAAAGUGUGGGGAGCAAACAGGAUUAGAUACCCUGGUAGUCCACACCGUAAACGAUGAAUGCCAGACGUCGGGCAGCAUGCUGUUCGGUGUCACACCUAACGGAUUAAGCAUUCCGCCUGGGGAGUACGGUCGCAAGAUUAAA
rnacentral:rRNA from 1 species